UACGAAGGGUGCAAACGUUGCUCGGAAUCAUUGGGCGUAAAGCGCACGUAGGCGGCCUCAAAAGUCGGAUGUGAAAUCCCGUGGCUCAACCAUGGACGUGCAUUCGAAACUGCGAGGCUUGAGUAUGGAAGAGGGUCGCGGAAUUCCCGGUGUAGAGGUGAAAUUCGUAGAUAUCAGGAGGAACACCGGUGGCGAAGGCGGGUCUCUGGGCCGAUACUGACGCUGAGGAGCGAAAGCGUGGGGAGCGAA
rnacentral:rRNA from 1 species